GACGAACGCUGGCGGCGUGCCUAAUACAUGCAAGUAGAACGCAGUUGCGAACGGGUGAGUAUCGCGUAGCUAACUGUCUCAUAGCGGGGGAUAACUAUUGGAAACGAUAGCUAAUACCGCAUACUGUGAGAUGGACCUGCGUUGUAUUAGCUAGUUGGUGAGGUAAAGGCUCACCAAGGCGACGAUACAUAGCCGACCUGAGAGGGAGAACGGCCACACUUGGACUUGGACACGGGCCAGACACCUACGGGAGGCAGCAGUAGGGAAACUUCGGCAAAGGACGGAAGACUGACCGAGCAACUACGCGUGAGGGAAGAAGGUUUUCGGAACGGAAAGCUCUGUUGUGAGAGGAGCGGUAACUAACCAGAAAGGGACGGCUAACUACGUGCCAGCAGACGCGGUAAUUC
rnacentral:rRNA from 1 species